AGUUGCAGCAGGGGGUGGUCUUCUGCCUGGACCCCCCCUGCCUGGUGGAGCUGGCGUGAGGACCAGGACAGGGACCUGAGUGCCAGGCCAGCUGAAUCCCUGCUCGCUCCACCUGCCCCUGCCCCAAUGGCCUCCCGGCGCUGGAAGUAUGUGUUCACGGCCCUGCUGACCACCCUUGGCCUGCUGGGAGAUUAACAAGGCCUUCAAAAACCGGACCUGGUUCUUCAGCGAACCUCUGGGCAACUGCUCUCUGCAGCUCGUGGGGCUGUGCCCAGGGGAUCA